rnacentral:rRNA from 1 species
CCUACGGGCGGCAGCAGUGAGGAAUAUUGGUCAAUGGGCGCGAGCCUGAACCAGCCAAGUCGCGUGAAGGAUGACUGCCCUACGGGUUGUAAACUUCUUUUAUAAAGGAAUAAAGUGAGGCACGUGUGCCUUUUUGUAUGUACUUUAUGAAUAAGGAUCGGCUAACUCCGUGCCAGCAGCCGCGGUAAUACGGAGGAUCCGAGCGUUAUCCGGAUUUAUUGGGUUUAAAGGGAGCGUAGAUGGGUUGUUAAGUCAGUUGUGAAAGUUUGGGGCUCAACCGUAAAAUUGCAAUUGAUACUGGCAGUCUUGAGUACAGUUGAGGUUGGUGGAAUUCGUGGUGUAGCGGUGAAAUGCUUAGAUAUCACGAAGAACUCCGAUGGCGAAGGCAGCUUACUAGACUGCCACUGACAUUGAUGCGCGAAAGUGUGGGUAGCAAACAGGAUUAGAUACCCCAGUAGUC